rnacentral:misc_RNA from 1 species
AACGCACAUUGCGGCCAUUGGUAUUCCUUUGGCCAUGCCUGUUCGAGCGUCAUUUACACCCUCAAGCCCCGGCUUGGUGUUGGGCGUCUUUGUCCCGCGGCCUCGUCGCGCGCGGGACUCGCCUCAAAGUCAUUGGCGGCGGUCGUGCCGGCUCCUCGCGCAGCACAUUUGCGCUUCUCGGAGGCCCGGCGGACCCGCGCUCCAGCAAAGACCUUCUCACGACUUGACCUCGGAUCAGGUAGGGAUACCCGCUGAACUUAA